GACGAACGCUGGCGGCGUGCCUAAUACAUGCAAGUCGAACGCAGUGGGGACGGGUGAGUAACACGCCGCUAACCUCCCCCUCAGAGGGGAUAACACUUGGUAACAGGUGCUAAACCGAUACUGAUGGAUGGACCCGCGGUGCAUUAGCUAGUUGGUGAGGUAACGGCUCUCAAGGGCCACGAUGCAUAGCCGACCUGAGAGUGGGAUCGGCCACACUGUGACUGAGCCACGGCGCAGAGUCCUACGUGAGGCAGAAGUAGGGAAGCUUCGGUGAUGGACGAAAGUCUGACCGAGCAACGCCGCUUGAGUGAGGAAGGUUGUCGGAUCGUAAAACUCUGUUGUUAGAGAAGCGGUAUCUAACCAGAAAGCCACGGCUAACUAGGUGCCAGCCGCCGGGGUAAUUC
rnacentral:rRNA from 1 species